GCCAAGAGGCAUGAUACAACCUGAGGAGAAGCAAGAUCAACUUCCAAAUACAGAACAAAUGAUUACACUUGGAAAGAUGAAUGAGAAUGCAACAAGUUGUGAACAGGCAAAUGAAAAAGGAUGGACAAUAGUUAAAAGUAAAUCUGCUACAAAGAACAUAACACAUGAUGCUUCUUGUAGUAAUUUAAAUACUGCACAUGGAUUUGAUCCACUAGGUGGAGAAAAAGCAACUCAGCGAAGUAGUAGACCUCAAAGUGUAAUAGAAGCGAGACAGAGUAGUUUGGGUAGAAAGGCUGGCGAUCCACAAUCCCUGCAUAUCCCUACAUGAAACUAAUCACUUGGAAUGUUAGGGGUUUGAAUAAGCUGUAUAAGCAGAAGGAGAUGAAUGAGUUUUUGACGGUGAAUAAAGUCAGUAUAAUAGCUAUAAUUGAACAUAGAGUUACAGAACAAGCAUCAAAGAAGAUUGUUGAUAGAAUAGCACCUUUAUGGAAAUGGAGCAACAACUACAACACCGGGAAACGAGGCAGGAUAUGGAUCUUAUGGAACCCUAACAUAGUUAGCUUCCAGUUAGAAACAGUACAUACUCAAUAUAUAUAUAUGGAAGGGUCUGCUGGCUAGAUAAAUGAAUAUACUUCAGCUUCACUACAACAUAUGGACUUCAUAAUGUUGGUGAUAGAAGGACUUUAUGGAAUAGGCUUAACAAAAUCAGUGGAUUGCAGCAGGAGCCUUGGCUAGUAAUAGGUGACUUCAAUGCAGUAUUAUCAGUAGAUGAUAGAAUAAAUGGCAACCCAAUACAUGAAUCAGAAGUGGUAGACUUUAGAGAAUUUAUGAGAAAUUGCAAUAUGACUAAAUUGAGAAGUGUGGGAAGGGAGUUUACAUAGACAAAUAACAACAUCUACAACAAGAUAGAUAGGGUGUGGUAAAUGUAGAAUGGAUGAAUAAUUUUCCACAAGUGGACGUUGUAGUUUGGAGCCCCUUUUCUCUGACCAUAGCCCUUUGAGUGUCGAAAAUGGUGGAUAAAUCAAAAAGAGGGGCAAAACCUUUCAGAUUCUUCAAUUACCUUGCAGAACAUGAAGACUUUACUGCUUUGGUAGAGGCAGGAUGGCAGGAACCUGUACAGGGGAACUACAUGAAGAGUGUUUGGGAAAAAUUGAAGAAUGUCAAGCAGGAACUUAAGAAGUUGCCUAAUACAUAAAUUAUUGAAAUUCAGAAAAAGUAUGUAACAUUAGGAAACAGCUAGUAGAGGUUCAAGAGCAAAUGAAAGACAUCAAUCAGCAUAGUAUUUUGGUAAAUCAGGAAAAGAAAUUAAGAGAGCAGCUGGAGAAAUGAGUGAAUACAGAGGAAAGUGCAGCUAAGCAAAAAUCAAGAAACCAAUGGUUACAAUUAGGAGACACGAACUCAGCUUAUUUCUUUGCCUCAGCAAAAAGUAGAAUGGCACAAAAUAAAAUUAGAAAUCUUGUAUCUAGCAAUGGAGAUAUGCUGCAGACAAAGGAUGAUAUCAGGAAAGAAAUAAUAGGCUUCUAUAAGCAAUUGCUAGGAUCAGCAGCAAAUCAUUUGCAUGCCAUAAAUCCUGAGAUAAUGAAGGAAGGUCAGAUCUUGAAUAGAGACAUGCAGCUGAUAUUGAUAGAACCCGUGACCAGGCAAGAGAUAAUGGAAGCAUUGAGGGACAUUGAUGACCAGAAAGCACCGGGGUGCGAUGGUUUUAACUGCCUAUUUUGCAAGAAGGCUUGGAAUACAAUAGGAGAGGAGAUAACUGAAGCAAUAUUACACUUUUUCUCAACAAAUGACAUGCACAAGCCUAUAAACUGCACCUACCAUCAAACUGCACCUCAGUCACCUUGAUUCCAAAAGUCAAGAGCCCAUCUACCAUCAAACAAUUUAGACCCAUCUCCUAUUGUACAGUUUUGUACAAAAUCAUAUCCAAAGUGCUCACAAAAAGACUUCAAAGUGUCAUAGAUCAUCUCAUUGACAAAAGUCAAUCUGCUUUCGUCCCUGGGAGGGUUAUCUAUGACAAUAUCAUUCUUAGCCAUGAGCUAAUUAAGGGAUAUGAUAGAAAGAGUGUCUCACCUAGAUGCAUGUUGAAUAUAGAUAUGCAAAAAGCAUAUGACUCGGUGGAGUGGACUUUCUUAGAACAAGUACUAAACUUCCUUGCCAAAUAUGUCGACUGGAUUAUGAUUUGUAUGACCAAUGUCUCUUAUUCCAUUCUGAUCAACAGGAUUCCAAGUCCCCCUUUUCCUGCAAAGAAAGGCCCGAGACAGGGUGAUCCAUUAUCCCCUUUCCUCUUUGUUUUGACGAUGGAGUACCUUAAUAGACAUUUGAGGACUCUGAGGCAUAAUCCUGAUUUCAACUAUCACCCUAAAUGUUCAAAACUUCAAAUAAUUCAGCUAGGUUUUGCAGAUGACCUACUGUUAUUUUGUAGAGGGGAUGUGAUUUCUGUACAACUAUUAUUCGGGUGUUUCUCUGAAUUCUCUAUGUGUUCUGGGUUGAUUGCAAAUAUUGAAAAGAGCUCUAUAUUUUUUGGUGGCAUUGGAAGGGAGGAGCAGAAUGAAAUCAUGAAUAUUUUGGGAUACUCUAAAGGGGAGUUGCCCAUCAAGUACCUUGAGGUACCACUGAGUUCAAAGAGACUGUCAGUUACUCAAUGUUACCCUCUGGUGGACAAGAUGAUUGGAAGAAUAACUUCAUGGACCGCAAAAUACCUUUCUUAUGCAGGCAAGCUACAAUUAAUUAAGAAUGUGUUAUUCUGUAUUCAAGCCUUCUGGUCUCAUGUUUUUAUACUCCCUAAGAAGAUAGUACACAUGAUAGAGACAGCAUGUAGAAGUUUCUUAUGGGCAGGGCAAGCAGAGGUCACAAAGAAAGCACCUUUAGCCUGGGAGAAAGUAUGUUGCUCAAAAACUGCAGGAGGAUUCAAUGUCAUUCAUAUAGAAACAUGGAACAAAGCUGCAGUGAGUAAAUUGCUGUGGAAUCUGUGCACAAAAAGGACAAAUUAUGGGUAAAGUGGAUCCAUAUUUACUAUGGGAAAGGAAGGAAUAUUUGGGAGAUUGAGGCAAAACAGGCAUCUUGGAUCCUGUCGAUCCUAAGGCAAAGAAGUACAUUAUUGAGGCUGGAUUGGAGCUGAACGACAUACAAGAAAUGAAUUACUUCCCUAUCAAAUUGAUGUAUCAGAAGCUGAGAGGUGUGCAACCUAAAGUUCCAUGGAAGAAAUUGGUAUGUAACAAUUAUGCCACUCCUAGAUGGGUUUUCAUAUUAAAUCUAGCAAUUCAAGGCAGAUUAACUACUAAGGAGAGAUUAUUACGAUGGGGAAUGCAAGUUAAGAAGGAAUGUGUAUUAUGUGGUUGGGCAGAUGAGACGACUAGUCACCUGUUUUUUGAACGCAUUUUUUCAAAAGAAAUCCGGCAAAGGCUGCUGAACUGGCAAGGUAUUAAUAAACAUGUGAAGAUAUGGGAAGAUGAGAUUCACUGGGAAACUACAGAAAUGAAGGGUAAGAACUCAAUUGAUGAAAUCUUUAGAAUGACAAUAGCUGGUGCGGUGUAUUACAUUUGGCAAGAGAGGAACCUAAGGCUAUUCCAAAACAAGCAGCGGAAUGUGAUAUCUAUCCUCAAGGAGGUGGUGCAGGAUCUGUUUGUGAGAGGAGGCAAGAAAUACAAGCUAGCCAGUAGACUCAGACUUAAAUUUCUAUCCAUAGUGAGCAGAAGAGAUAGGGGUUGAGAAGUACGCUAGGCAUUGGGGCCUUCUGUCCAAUAGCCUAGUUACUAG
rnacentral:lncRNA from 1 species